CUUUCUCCUACUACACGGAGUGACAGAUCCUCUGUGCUCUCUUUCCCUCUCCACCUUAAGCGGAGAUGACUCCUGCCCACCUUAAUCUUUUAUAUACUCACUGAAUAAUAACCUUUUUGGUCAUUUACUCAGGAAGGAUUUGUCAUUCCAAUACUUCAUUAAUCCUAUAACAUAAAAUCCAGAAGAUAUGUAUGUGGCUGAGAGAGGCAUGUAAUUCCUUUGGUGGUAUUCACACUUAAAUAUAACACAGUGUAAGAGCAAAUCAGUUUUGAGGCGAGCUGUCAAAGCCACUCUCUUCCACCACUUUUGGGGAUCACUGUCACCAGGAUGUUAAUUAGGCAUGGGGAGGAGAUGAGACUAUUCCAGCAGAUCAGAACUCUCUGGGAAACCCUGAACCAAAUCCCUGUGGUGUAAAUGCAGGGAAAUACAGCUUAUUUGUGUAAUUGUGGUCCAUCUUUGUGCCAGUGGCUCCACGUUGGUCAAGGGGCUGCUUUGAAAGUUGCUGGAGAUGCUCUGCCUGAUGCUCAGGGCACUGUCCCUCUUACACGUGGUUUUCUGAGGAAUGUUCCCACUCUUUCAAACACCCGGGGAGAACUGCUUUUGUGGGAUUAUUACAGAACCUCCUGGGGAAAAGACAAAUCAGGCUUUUUAUCUGCUUUUUGGCUUGCCACAAGCGAGUCCCAACUUCCUGCCACUAAAGGCACUUCUGCUUCUCUCUGCUCUGUCAAAGGACUUAAGAUGAUCAAUUUAUAACGUCUACAGAGUGCUAGGAUGAAAAGAUGUUCUGAAAAUGCCUCAGAUGAAAAGAAGCUGUAAAAAAAAACUAAUCUUUACCCUGAUAGACUGAUUACAAUCUAUUGUGCUGUGGAUUAGCGGGUGAGUAUUUAUUCUGCUUAUUUUUUUACUCCUAUGUACAGAUGCUCUGGACCACAAUGACCUCUUUGAAGUCAUUAUUGGCUCUCGCAUCCAUGAGUAGUAUGGAGGGCACAUUAAUAAACUGUAUAUAGAAAAAGACAAUGAAGUCCCCAAGAAGUCAUUAAGAGUCUAUUGUGUCAGUCUGACUGUGGCCCACAAAAGAUACUGAAUAUGUAAGCUAAAAAUAUCCUUCGGAAAUGCUGUUGACACAGUUAUUUUACAUUGGCAGCAACAUCUUCCCCCCACAUACACACGCUCCCCUUGCUAAUCCUGCUCAGAGCAAUCCAUGUUCUGGGAAUCAUCUGUUUUUUUUUUUUUUUCUUGGGAUUCAGAGACCUCCAGAUAGCAGCACUCUGCUGGCACUUUGCAGCUUUGUUAGGGAAAAACAGGAGCGUAUCUUUUAUUCCUGCCCUAUAUCCUCCUAUGUAUGAAGUGCUGCACAAACACCCAACUGAUGACUGCAGUUAUGUCAAAGAGCUGUCAGCUGAAAAGAACAGAGCAUAAAAAUACGAGAAGGGAGCAGGUAUCCACACUUCUUCUGUCCUUUUGGACCCAGCAGUGCCCCCACCACUCAGCCCCUCAGUUUCCUGUACCCAAGUCCACGAGGGACGCUCAGCCCAGCAGCAGAGGAGUUGACCUCAGGUUUUUCUGGUGACACCAGCGCUGACACUCUGCCUCCUCCACGUUGGCAUGGAUGCUUAGAAGAGCUGCUCCCAAAGGAUGACAAAUGAAAUGGGACCAGCCUGUCUGUGAAGGGGAACGCUUCCCUCUGCUAACAGCUUGACUGAGAUUCACCCAAUUUGCUUCCUAACCGUUGGAACUGCCCCCACCAGUGAGUAGGUGCAGAGAUCAGCUUCUUCUGGAAGAAAUGUAUCUAAAAUGAGCAGAAGUGCUCUCCUGUGUAUCACGGGGACGUUGUCAUCUCCCAGGCUGUGAUAUGUGGCUAAAAAAAGAACAGAGGGCUCCUAAAAGUAGCCGAAAAGUGCAUGAUCUGUGAGUAGAGCCAGGAGACAACUGAGUCAUCUCAAGUUCUACAGAGGGCCGAAAGAGUGGUAUUGGAGUGAAUAUGAGUGCAGAGCAGGCUGUGAGCAACGGCCCCAUCUCCAUGAUUUCCAUAGUCAAGCAGAUAGUACAAGAGAUGUGUGCUUGUGCAUUUGUAUCAUUCAGACUCCAUGUUUUCAGAUUCUUUGAACGGAGAACAAGAAAAAUGAUGGAGGAAAAGGAUCAGUGAGAAAACACUUGGAAUCACACCAGCGAGAAAGCCCCUGCUUUGCUAACACUGUGGUGGUUGGCAGUGGGAAAUAACUAACCUCCUACCACAGUGAUAGCUGAUAGUUAUAGCAUGCUUAAAACAAUCAUGUAUUUUGUAUCCCACUCUCUUCCACAGAAGUCACGUUUGCCAGAAACUUAAAAAAAGAUUCAAGUAUGGUUCAUGUUUCAUUUUGCUCUGAGGUAAUUGCCAGUCAGCAGCCAUUUGUGGUCUAAGAUGACUGGAAGUUUUAAAGCAGAAUGUGGGCUUUUCCCACUUAUCUACUUACCAAAACCAACAUCUACUGGGGAAAAAAAAAUCAACACAAUAAACAACAGAACAAAACAGUAUCUCAGAGGAGUCUGGCACACAAAUGACACAGUUAAAAUGUUGCUCCACUAUUACAAUUGCUUCAGAAUGAUUACUAUCCUUCUAUUUCAUCCUCAGCUGAUUAGUCCCUAGGCUCAAUUGCUUUCAAAUGAAUAAAACACCAUCUAUUUGUGUUUUUCCUUCUGUGAGGGAAAAAAAAAAAAAAUCUACUUAUUGUGAUAAAGAGAUUGGUUUUAUCUGUGUGGACUUUUGUUCUAAGGAAUGCAAUAAUUUUGCUGGUACUGAAAUUCCGAUUUUGAGUGUUUUUAAUUAGACUAUUGUCUACUCUGUUGAUUUGAGAAAUGGUUUGCAUAACUGACCCAAACACCUCCGGAAGCUUAAACUGAAUUUUGGAAAGCAUUACUGAAUAUUUUUCCUGUCUUCCUCCUCGCUGGACAGAAAAAGCUGAAAAGCCCCAAGCACAGUCGGAUACGCAAACCCACAAGGAUACUAGCAGCUAUGCGUUUCCCAUCACCAGUUGUUCAGGAAAUGCUGUACUUCAAAGAUAUCAGGUCAUUGCCCUUUUUCAAUACAAGGCGUUGAGAUAUAGUUUUGAAAAAUUUUCAGUUGUCAUCCAAGAUGAAUCUUAUCACGUUUACCCAUUAUUUCGAAUCAGAUCUGAAACAUGACAGGCAUAAUUUGGAUUGAGAUAUUUGGCAUUUCCCAAACCCCUGCCAUAUGUCACUCAAAGCCAUUGAUGGGCACUUCAAAGAAAACCAGCAUGCAGUUUUGAGCAGUUCUUUGCAAGUUUCUUUGUAGCAAAAUUUCCUACUUGGAAGCCCUCUAGUUAAGCUUGCAUUUCUGAUAAAUUUCCAUGCAUUAUUAACCUAAUUGGACCCAACAUAUAUUCUAAGAUUCUCAUUAAUAUUUUUAACAUGUUAUGGCAUCUUUAUCCUUGAGCAGUCAACCAAGUUUUCAUCUUCAUAAAAAUGGGUUCCUCAUAAUCGGACAAUCCAAUCAUUUCCAGUCCAUAAGGUAAAUUUCCUCUAUAUUCUUUGAUUUUGCAGGAUUUUUUUUUUAACCAAUCAGCAUAAUACAUUUCACCCUAUGGUUUAUUUCUCCGUAAACCUUGCCACAAUUGCUGGAAGCUUCUAACUGGAAAGGAUGCCAACUUGAGCUGGAGGACACAUCUAAGAGAUGACCUCAGGCCAACUGAAAGAAGGUAGAGCAUUUUAGGAGGACCGUUCCAUUUAUUCUUGCAAUUUAGACGCUUCACUGACUUCUGAUCAUCUUCAGAAUGGAUAAAAUGCCAAUGGACCGUACUGAAUGGUAAAUAAAUGGUACUACAGCCCACUGACUGUUAGUCGUUCGUUAAUAUAUCUACAUAGGGAUAACACUGUGGAGACUAAAUCCUGAAUAAAACUGUCUGAGGUGAUACAAAAACGAACAUGAAAAGGAUGACCCUAAGCUAAAAAGAUUACUUGUGUUUGUUUGGCUCGAUGGCUGUAAUAGCAGCAGUAUUCAGCUGGAACAAUUAUUGGGUAGAAAAGAAGGGUUUUUUUUUUGUAUAAGUUCAGAAUGCUUUCACUGUUAUUAUCUAAAAUUGAACUAUGUAUAUUAUUUUAAAUGGGUAAAUUUUUGUUUUGUAUCCAUGAAAUUGCUACCACAUUAACAAGAUUUUCCAGGCAUUAAUGGAUUGAUUUCUGUUAAAUUGUAACUAUAUUAAUUCAUCCCAAUUACCUCUAAGUAAAAUUUAAAUUAAGUUAAAUUGAAGAAAUUAAAAAUGUUUGAAAACCCUGCAUGGAAACCUUGAGGCAUCAUAAGAUUGUCAUUUCUCAUCUUUAAUGUCAUUCAUUUUGCAACUGAGAACACAACAUAAGUAGUCUCAGUUCUCACAAGAUUUGUAAGCUGCUAUUUUUCUGUACAAUUUGAAGGUAAUUUAAAGGUAUCUCAAUAAGUCCAACCUGCUUUUUUUUUUUUUUUCUUCCCUCCUGAUGGAAAAGGCUGUUUGCUCCUUUCCUAAGAAGGAAGCUGAUGUAUGGAUGAUCCAUUUAUAAUGAGAAGAUACUCUGCCAUAAAGACAGGUUUAAAUGAAUACAGGAAGUGCUGUCAUUGGUCUCAUUGAGAGAGCACUCGGAGUAGGCAUAGAGGAAGUGCUGGCUGCCCAGUAGUGACAUGCAGCUCCUGAGUGCAACAUUGCUCCAAAUGGCAGAAGAAUCCUUCUUCUGAAGGUUAUGGCUAAGGAUUAGCCUUCUGCAAAGCCUGGUGACAGAUCCAGGCUGAGAUAGCUUUAAUCUGAUGCUGGGGAACACAACUAUGUUCUGGUUUAGCCAAGCUCUGAGUUGCUCACAUCUGGGCUAGAAAUAUUUGAGUAGAAACUGACUCUAAAUGAGAAAAGUUUGUACAUUCUCCCAAGUUAUGUUACAAUUUACAGGGGAAAGAGAACUGGGAAUAGAACUGGAGGUCUCAGCAGAUGGUAACUCAAAGUGUUCAUUCAUCUCCUGAUCAACCGCUUCUUGAAAAAGGCCCUUCCAAAAGCACAGUUCUCCAGAUCCUGAUUUCUAGACACAUUCGGAGCAUGGAAGGGCCUUGUCUGCAUGUCUGUGAAGGUGGUCAAUGCGCUGCACUGAGGUGGAGAUCAAGUUUUAUUAAUGGAGGAUGUCAUGCUGUGAAACUGUUGGCAUUUCACGACUUCUCUUUGGCUUCCUUUGUCCUUGGAAGCUCUGUAUUCUUCAAGGUUGGCCCGGUGGUCUGCUCAGAGGUAAUAACUGCUAACUAGAACUAGCAGAAACCAGACAAAGUACUCAGUUUAGAUCAUCCAUGCUCUGAGAGAAUUAGACGGAUGCAGGUCACGCUGAGGAGAACCAGGGAAGCUGUUCCCCUCCCUGCAGCAGAGUCAUUCAAACUGAAAGCUGCUCGCAGGAGGGAGGAGGAUUGGAGAAAGGUGCUUCUUAAUUGCAUUUUGGUUCUGGACCCUCUGGUGAGCGGAGACACUGGGAACAAAUGAAAGUUUCUGGUGCUGGGAAGGAAAAAAAUAGCAG
ensembl:lncRNA